rnacentral:rRNA from 1 species
UACGGGGGGGGGCAAGCGUUGUUCGGAAUUACUGGGCGUAAAGGGCUCGUAGGCGGCCAACUAAGUCCGACGUGAAAUCCCCAGGCUUAACCUGGGAACUGCGUCGGAUACUGGAUGGCUUGAAUCCGGGAGAGGGAUGCGGAAUUCCAGGUGUAGCGGUGAAAUGCGUAGAUAUCUGGAGGAACACCGGUGGCGAAGGCGGCAUCCUGGACUGGCAUUGACGCUGAUGAGCGAAAGCCAGGGGAGCAAAGCGGGG